UCUUCAUUUUCAGUUGGGAAGAGACCAUGUAGUGAGGGGGAAAAAAAAAUGAACACAAAUAGAGAAAUCAUCAAUGGGCUGAAUGAUAAGAAUUGAUCAAAAUAAUCCAAAACCCCAUGACAUGCAGUCUCAGAAGCCUUCCCGUGGGCUGGAAGCUCACAAAGAAGCUUAAAUUUUAGAAGAGCCGUCUUUAGAAGUCGAUAUUGCAUUCAGAAAACAACCAACCAACCGAAAAGGUGGUGGUGGGGUGUGGGACCAGAUGUAUGCAUGUGGGGGAAAUUUUGUUGUUCUCACACACCGUACAGUGGUCUUAGUCCUCGGUUCUACUGCUCUGUGCCUCUCCCCCAUCUUCCCUACAUCCUGUUGCUCUCCAUCACACGGGCUAAACACUUCUGUGACCUCGCAGUCCUUUAGAAAUAGACAUUUCACUGCACCACCCACCUGCUCCCAAACUGGAGGAAAAAAUAUUCAGUACGAUACAUUCAGUAGAUUACUGAGCUUUUCCAGGAUUAUACUGUCAUCAUGGUUUGUAAGACAACUGUUAUAAAGAGCUAGAUGUAUUAUCCUAUGAAGAAAAUAGUUACUUUUCAGAAAGCCAGUUCUGUUCAAUAUGCCUUCACAGAGAUAUGAGUACUAACUAGUUCUAACACUUGUGACCUUAACUUUCUACUUCACUGGGAACGCCGCUAUUUCAAGGCUAAAAGGGGAAUCUACAAAAACUUACUUGACGUUGAAGAACCUUUAACCGAGUAUUCUUAAAGCCCUAAGAAUCUUCUUGAACCUAAGAUUCUUUAUAUAUUAAUCACAGAAUACAUCAUACACAGAACUAUCCAUGUUGGAUCUAUCAGUUUCAAGGGGGGAAAGAAUGGCCAUUCCACCCAGCCUGAGAAGGACAGGCUUCCAUCUUUGAAGCCUCCUUUGGUCCCUUCCUCUUCCACAAUAUAAUCAAUGUCUUGAAUUUUGACUACAUCUUUCCCUUACUUUGCACCAUACUUUUCCCGACAGUGAAUGUGGAAACGUCCCUCAGUAAGCUCUCAGAAAGGAUAAAAGUACCUUCCGGAUUCCUAUUGUCAGUGGAGAGACCACAGGACAUUUGGACAUAAACUAAAGAGUUGGGAACAUGUUGUGGACUGAAAACCUCAAGGAAUGAUGAGGAAACGAUGAGGGUAAGAGGCAGAAGUUCUGAGUUCCAGUACUGCCUCAGUGGAGUUUCUUCUCGCCUCACUCUGACCUCAGAUAUUUGCACUCCUAUGGCUCCACAUUUUCGCCCUUGAUGAUUUCAGCCACUCUGAGGUUUCAACUAUAAUGUCUAUAAAAUGUUAAGGAACAGUGCUGCAUAUUUAAGAACUCAUUUGCACAUACUGUAUGGAGCACUGGGUGUGGUGCAUAAACAAUGCAUUUUGGAACACUGAAAGAAAAGAAAAGAAAAGAAAAGAAAAGAAAAGAAAAGAAAAGAAAAGAAAAGAACUCAUUUGCAAGAUGAACAUACAAGCAGGUAAUCUCUCUGAACCACAGAAUAAUAAAAUGAACCAGAGACCGAAAAAACACAUGCAUCCACCACCAGUAUGUUGCCUUCAUAUUUUUAAACAUGGUAUGAAAAACAGUAAGUAUAUCAGUUCUAUUUAAAGUAAUGACUCCUCACUCUAGAAGACAAUAAUCUUUAAAGCAGGAUGUCAGCUGCUGGCACUUCCUUUCCUAGCCUGUGUUUCCCUUUGGAGUGGUUGCAUUUUACCAAAAUUCCAGUUUGCCUGAAAUAUGAGCAGGAGUCUUGGUUCAUGUUUGCUUGAUCAAGUAGUUAUUGGUGAAUAUGAUUUUCAUCCGGUCAAAUAAAAUAAGCAUAUAUCUCCAACUUACCU